CCUACGGGUGGCACCAGUAGGGAAUCUUCGGCAAUGGACGAAAGUCUGACCGAGCAACGCCGCGUGAGUGAAGAAGGUUUUCGGAUCGUAAAACUCUGUUGUUAGAGAAGAACAAGUAGGAGAGUAACUGCUCUUACCUUGACGGUAUCUAACCAGAAAGCCACGGCUAACUACGUGCCAGCAGCCGCGGUAAUACGUAGGUGGCAAGCGUUGUCCGGAUUUAUUGGGCGUAAAGCGAGCGCAGGCGGUCUUUUAAGUCUGAUGUGAAAGCCCUCGGCUCAACCGAGGAUGGUCAUUGGAAACUGGAGGACUUGAGUGCAGAAGAGAAGAGUGGGAUUCCAUGUGUAGCGGUGAAAUGCGUAGAUAUAUGGAGGAACACCAGUGGCGAAGGCGACUCCCUGGUCUGUAACUGACGCUGAGGCUCGAAAGCGUGGGGAGUAAACAGGAUUAGAUACCCCCGUAGUC
rnacentral:rRNA from 1 species